rnacentral:rRNA from 1 species
ACUCCUACGGGAGGCAGCAGUGGGGAAUAUUGCACAAUGGGCGCAAGCCUGAUGCAGCCAUGCCGCGUGUAUGAAGAAGGCCUUCGGGUUGUAAAGUACUUUCAGCAGUGAGGAAGGCGGGUACGUUAAUAGCGUGCUUGUUUGACGUUAGCUGCAGAAGAAGCACCGGCUAACUCCGUGCCAGCAGCCGCGGUAAUACGGAGGGUGCGAGCGUUAAUCGGAAUUACUGGGCGUAAAGCGCAUGCAGGUGGUUUGUUAAGUCAGAUGUGAAAGCCCGGGGCUCAACCUCGGAAUUGCAUUUGAAACUGGCAGACUAGAGUACUGUAGAGGGGGGUAGAAUUUCAGGUGUAGCGGUGAAAUGCGUAGAGAUCUGAAGGAAUACCGGUGGCGAAGGCGGCCCCCUGGACAGAUACUGACACUCAGAUGCGAAAAGCGU